UUUUCAACGCGCAGCUGCCCGAACAUCAGGCUCAGGUGAAGGUGACCUGCUCCACCGUUUGGGAUCCGCGGCUCUCUCACUGCUGCGAGGACAGAUUGGGAAGCCGUUAUGGCGGCACAGAAGUUGAGGGAGAAGCUAUUUAUCCCAGACGGAUCAGGAGGUGUGUGACGGAGGUGUGGACGGUUGCUGCAGGUCAGUGACGUUGGCAGGCGCCAGGCAGGCCGGCCCACAUGGCUCGGGGACUGUGGGACUACAGACAGAUGGCACCUGGUGGGUGACAAACAAUUAACAAACCAACAAGAAUAGCUGGAUCGGCACUAUACCCACAAGCGCAGGAGAUAGCUAGAGAGCGGGUGCAUCUGUGCUCCGAACAUUUCUGCUCUUUACUUUUUCUCUCCCCGAGACUUGUUUUGUAUAACAGUUGCAAUUUAACCAUGUGUCUUUCUCACAAAAACACCCUCGUCGUUGUGUUGCUUUAGAACGGUCUAAAUAAAGCAGUGCUGAGCAUAUGCA